AUUGAACGCUGGCGGCAGGCCUAACACAUGCAAGUCGAGCGGAUGAAGGGAGCUUGCUCCUGGAUUCAGCGGCGGACGGGUGAGUAAUGCCUAGGAAUCUGCCUGGUCGUGGGGGAUAACGUCCGGAAACGGGCGCUAAUACCGCAUACGUCCUGAGGGAGAAAGUGGGGGAUCUUCGGACCUCACGCUAUCAGAUGAGCCUAGGUCGGAUUAGCUAGUUGGUGGGGUAAAGGCCUACCAAGGCGACGAUCCGUAACUGGUCUGAGAGGAUGAUCAGUCACACUGGAACUGAGACACGGUCCAGACUCCUACGGGAGGAAGCAGUGGGGAAUAUUGGACAAUGGGCGAAAGCCUGAUCCAGCCAUGCCGCGUGUGUGAAGAAGGUCUUCGGAUUGUAAAGCACUUUAAGUUGGGAGGAAGGGCAGUAAGUUAAUACCUUGCUGUUUUGACGUUACCAACAGAAUAAGCACCGGCUAACUUCGUG
rnacentral:rRNA from 1 species